rnacentral:rRNA from 1 species
CGCAAGUUGCGCCUAAAGCCGUCAGGCCGAGGGCACGUCUGCCUGGGCGUCACGCAUCGCGUCGCCCCCCUCCUCGACCUUGUGUCGAGUUGUGGGGAGCGGAAGAUGGCCUCCCGUGCUCCUCACCGGGGUGCGGUUGGCCCAAAUGUGAGUCCUUGGCGGCGGAUGUCAUGGCGAUUGGUGGUCGUACCUAGCGUGCAUAUCGUCGCGCCGUGCCCCCGUUGUCUGUGGGACUAAUGACCCUUUUGGAGCCUCUCUACUUGAGUAGCUCUUCGACCGCGACCCCAGGUCAGGCGGGACUACCCGCUGAGUUUAAGCAUAUCAAUAAGCGGAGGAAAAGAAACUUACCAGGAUUCCCCUAGUAACGGCGAGCGAACCGGGAACAGCCCAGCCUUAGAAUCGGAUGGCCCCGCUAUUCGA